GAUCGUGUCCAGAGAGUCGGAAGAGAGAGCCAGGGCUACUAGGAGCAGCACGGCCCUGCUCAGAUCCACCAUCACCCUCCCUGAGUUUGAUAACUGAGUGGAAUUCCCCAGGAUGGGUCACCACAUGGCAGAGCUGGCUCUGUCCCUCAGUGACCCAGCCAGGACAUCAGCCGGCAGGCCAGGGAAGGGGUUUCCUGGCUCUACCAGUUGCUGCUGCGCCAGAGGGGCCUGACCAUCCAUGAGGCUGAAGACCUGUGGUACUGGAACUGGCAUCAGGACAGCAGGCUCCUGGGCUACAGGAACACAGCCACUGUGCGGGAGGUAAGGACACUCUGCCAGGGCAUGAAACAGCUCAGGGCAUGGGGGUGGCUGGGUCCCCUGCAGUGGCUGCAUCCUGGGACCACUAGACGGAGACGCCAUUUAAGCCCUGGGAUUUGGAGCC